ensembl:lncRNA
GUCAAAACACCAUAGAACAAACACAAUACCGUAUGUAGCAUUACAUUCUGAUAGGUCAAAACACCACUCCAAACCAUAGACAGUGUUUGUAGCAUUACAUUCUGAUAGGUCAAAACACCAUAGAACAAACACAAUACUGUAUGUAGCACACAGGCAUUUUCAGAGGGACAUUUUGCAUGCAGAACACCAUACUCCAAACCACAAAGGGAUCCGGCAACUGGAGAGAUUAGCCUAUGUACCGCACAGUCAUAUUCAGAUCAUACCUUACUGCUUUCAACAUACAGUUCAUGGGUUCUGUCUCUCUCUCUCUUUCUCUCGCUCUCUCUCUGUCUCUGUCUCUCUCUCUCUCUCUCUCUGUCUGUCUCUCUCUGUCUCUCUCUCUCAAUCUCUGUCUCUCUCUCUCUCAAUCUCUGUCUCUCUCUCAAUCUCUGUCUCUCUCUCAAUCUCUCUCUCUCAAUCUCUCUCUCAAUCUCUCUCACUCUCUCUCAAUCUCUCUCUGUCUCUCUCUCAUUCUCUCUCUCUUUCUGUCUCUCUCUCGCUCGCUCUCUCUCUCUCUCUCUCUCUCUCUCUCUCUCUGUCUGUCUCUCACACCUCACCUGGCACCAGAUAAUUUAGAAUGAUUAUACUGCAGGAUUAAAUCUUGGCUGUGACAGUCAAGAAGAACAACACAAGCCAUCAUGGUGAUGAAAGCAUGGUGUACAUUAUUCUGAGGGUACGUCCCUAUAAUACAUUACCCCCCCCCCCUGAAGUGUACUGUUCCCUCAAAUAUAAAAGCCUUGACUAGCUGAUCAUAACAGAUUAAGUGAUCAUAGUGUUAGGCCUUGUAGUGUUUUUUGUUGUUGUCUAUACUAGCUGAUCAUAGUGAGAUACACCUGCAUUAGCUCCUCCCCCCCAAGCUAAUGCCUAGACUUUAUCUCAGCUGGCUAACACAGAUUCCUGGAGACCCGGAUUGGAACCUACAUGCAGACAGGCGAUCUUUAAAAACCUUUAAAGACCUGUAUAGAUCUUUAUAGCCCUUUUUAGCCAGACUUCAUAGACACAGCGUGCAGAGUAAGUUAGUUAGGAAGAUAUGUUAAGGCAGCGUUUCCCAAACUAGGUCCCUGGGGAACCCAAGGAGUGCACGUUUUUUUUUUUUUCUCCUCUACAAUUACACAGCUGAUUCAAUUCAUCACAGCUUGAUGAUGAGUUGAUUACUUUUUUAAUCAGCUAUGUAGUGCUAGGGCAAAAAAAAAAAAAAAUGGGGUCCCCAGGUCCGAGUUUUGGAAAUCCUUGGUCAAGGAAAACAGACUUUCUACACACCAGAUAUACAGAGCAUUCCUGGAAAGUAUUCAGACCCCUUCCCUUCUUUCCACAUUGUGUUACGUUACAGCCUUAUUCUACAAUGGAUGAAAUAAAACACAUUCCUCAUCAAUCUACACACAAUAUCCCUAUAAUGACAUCACAAUACCCCUAUAAUGACAUCACAAUAUCCCUAUAAUGACAUCACAAUACCCCUAUAAUGACAUCACAAUACCCCUAUAAUGACGAAGCGAAAAUAUAUAUAUAUUUCUGUUAUAUUUGGAAAUGUAUAAAAAAAAAAUUGAAUGCAUCCCAAUUGGCACCCUAGUCCCUACAUGCGGGGACUGCAAUUAUUAUUAUUAUUAUUAUUUUUAAAUGUAACCUUCAUUUAACAACACAAGUCAGUUUUAAGAACAAAAAUUCUUGCAAUAGGAUGUCGUUUGGGACACUGUCAUUGUCUAUGACCCAGUGCCUGCCCAGUGUAUAUAUAAACACAUGUAAUAAUCAGCCCCUGUUAUUGGUCAGUUACACCACAGAUGUACAGGUUUUUAUCUAUUUGUCACUUGUUGUGGUUAAUAAUAUUGUAUUGUUUCUGAAUGCAGCAUUGUGGGAGUUUUUGAACUAUGAGAAAUGAAAAGCACUUACUGAAAUGAAAUGAAAAUAAAGUUA